GGGAGACCAACUAGGGUAGUGAGAUAUUGGUGCAAGCCAAUUAUGACUGCCAGAGCAAUCCCAAGGUCGUGCGAGGCGAGUAAUUUUGAGCUUUCAAACUAUUAAAGGGUUCGGGAAAACGGGCUAUUAGCUCAGGUGGUUAGAGCGCACCCCUGAUAAGGGUGAGGUCCCCGGUUCGAGUCCAGGAUGGCCCACCUCACAGAAGUAUAGUGCCGAGCAACAAGCAUCAGCAAAAAUCUAGCACCUGAAAUUGCCCCAAAACAGCAAAACAGUCUGCUGGAUUUAAUAUCCAGUCAGAACCUUGAAAACUGCAUAGCAAACGGAAAUCUGAAAGAGUCAAAGACGCCGACUUUGGCGUCACAGCUCAAAAUCAGAAAAAAUCAAACAAAAGUGGUCAAGCUACAAAG
rnacentral:tRNA from 1 species